CUGGUCCGUAGCGUUACACCAGCUACGUCAGAAGUUCCCACUUCGGAGGCAGCUGCUUAUUUUUUUUUAUUCAUUUUUUAGUUAAAAUAUUCAGAUUGGAUCUCAUUCUCACCAUCGCCGCACAUCUUCAAGUGCAAACGCCAUCCAUGCCGCCGCUGUCUCCAUAGCCGUUCCCUCCUACGAUCUGCAGCUUCGUCGUUACGGAACGCCGUCGCCACUCCAUAGCCGAGACAACUGCUGCCUCCCCUGCCGAUCUACUUCGUGGAGAUCUCCACCACCGCAAUGCAACUACCGGCUCCCCUGCGACGCCGACGCUACCACCGCCACCGCCUCCGCCCCAGCCACCGCCGUCCACGUAUUCCCGGUCAGCAGAUCUACUGGCCUGCCUCUGCAACCAUAUUCCUGUAGGAAGGUUUGUAUAUACAUAAAAAUGGGAGAAGAAGAGUGAAAAUCCUCCAGGAAUGGUAGCAUCUUUAAAGCAAUGUUGAUGCAUCUGGAGGAUCUGUUUGUCUGGAAGGUAUUACAACAUCUUUAACCACUCCACUUUGUGUAGUUUUGAUAGAAUUCUGCUCAGUUUUGGAAAAGUGUAGAGAAGAAUUGCCUAUUGACAUUCAUAGUUGAAGAGUGGAGUAGUCCAGAGACCAAAGACAAAAGUUGGAGAUGCGGCUAAGGGUGGGUAGAAGUAGAUUUAUAGUAUAAAUGUGUCACUAUUUCUGUAAAGAAAAUACUCCUUGAAUAUUGUACAGGAAAAAAAUUGUAUUUAUUAAUAUUAUUAUCAAUUUAAAUUUUUAUCAAA